GGGGGUGAUCGGUUUCGACUUCGAUCGCCGUGUCAGGGGAAGCGAGCCGAGGGUUGCGACGUAACCUCGUAAAUCCUGCCUCGCAAUAAACACAAGUGCCAAUUCCAAGCGCACUGAGCUCGCUCUCGCCGCUUAAGCGAUAGCGACUCUGUCGGCCUGGGCUCGUCCUCGGCCCAGUGUCCGGCAUCGUCUAGAGGACUUACCGCUUAGACCAGGCCACGGGGUCUGAGCGGGACAUUCACGUGGCUGGGCUCGUCAGCGACUCGUUCGCGGGAGCGCUGGAGCCGAGUAGAACGCCAACGCGAACUGUGCUCGGAGAAGCCCUGGCUCGUCAUCGAAGGACGCGGGUUCGAUUCCCGCCACCUCCACGA
rfam:Streptomonospora alba strain YIM 90003 contig_13, whole genome shotgun sequence.